rnacentral:rRNA from 1 species
UACGGAGGGGGCUAGCGUUGUUCGGAAUUACUGGGCGUAAAGCGCGCGUAGGCGGACCUGCAAGUCGGGGGUGAAAGCCCGAGGCUCAACCUCGGAACUGCCUUCGAUACUGCGGGUCUCGAGUCCGGGAGAGGUGAGUGGAAUUCCUAGUGUAGAGGUGAAAUUCGUAGAUAUUGGGAGGAACACCAGCGGCGAAGGCGGCGACCUGGUCAGAUACUGACGCUGAGGCGCGAAAGCGUGGGGAGCAAACAGG